UACGUAGGUGGCAAGCGUUGUCCGGAAUUAUUGGGCGUAAAGCGCACGUAGGCGGCUUUCUAAGUCAGGGGUGAAAUCCUGGAGCUCAACUCCAGAACUGCCUUUGAUACUGGAGAGCUUGAGUCCGGGAGAGGUGAGUGGAACUCCGAGUGUAGAGGUGAAAUUCGUAGAUAUUCGGAAGAACACCAGUGGCGAAGGCGGCUCACUGGCCCGGUACUGACGCUGAGGUGCGAAAGCGUGGGGAGCAAACAGG
rnacentral:rRNA from 1 species